GCCACACACAAGGUCACUCGAGAGAGCAGCAGCAGGAGGAGACACUUCUCCGGGAAGCAUGAUUCCAUCACCAGAAGACGUCUCCCUCCGUUGGAAAGGAGAAAUCUCCCCCUCUUCUGUUCUUUGAGUUGGAGCUCGUCUUUUUCUUUUUCUCAUCUUUCGUUCUUAUACAUGGUAAUAUCAAUGGCACUCAACUCAUACUAUUCGGUGUGUGCUGCCGCUUCCAUUCCUCUCGCUUAUUCUCGAAGGCAGCCUCGAAGAAGCUGUUGCAACAGCAGUUAUUACGCCGGCAUUCAUUCAAACAGCUGCAAUGCAGCCCCGAAAAGUACCUCCUUCCGCAUCUCCGCUGACUUGAAAGCUCGAUUCGUUGCUAAACGCUCCGAAACUACCUCUGUUCAGCAACUCCAGCGCCCUCUUGUUGAAUAUAUGAGCUUGCCGGCUAGCCAGUACUCGGUGUUGGAUGCGGAGCGCAUUGAGCGUGUAAACGAGAAUACGUUCCGAUGCUAUGUAUACAGGUUAAAGUUCUUCUCUUUUGAAGUUUGUCCGGUCCUUCUUGUUAGAGUGGAUGAAGAGCCCGAUGGCUGCUGCAUUCGCCUGUUGUCUUGCAAGCUGGAGGGUUCACCAAUUGUUGUUGCACAGAAUGACAAGUUCUCUGCUUCAAUGGUGAAUAAAAUAUCUUGCAACUCCAAUCGUGGCAACUCAUCAGUGCAGCAGCUUACUUCAGAUACUACUAUUGAGGUUGUUAUUGAUAUCCCUUUUGCAUUUCAAGCAAUACCGGCGCAAGUGAUUGAAUCAACUGGGACACAGGUCCUUGAACAACUUUUAAAGAUUAUGCUUCCACGAUUUUUGACACAGCUUAGUCAAGAGGAAAAAUGACAAAAAGAUAGUGACGCUUUCUGGCAUUCAUAAUGAGGAAGUAGCCCCUAAGUUGCAGUUACGUCUCUUUCAAUCCCAGCUUUGAGCUUGUUAAGGAUUACCAGGCAUGGGCUUCUGGUGACACCUCGAGGCAGCCUCUAGGUACAGGUAAAAUUUGAGGCCACCGCAACGUGACUGCAGCAGUUGUUGGUUGAUUUAUAUUGUUGAUCUGGAGUCCCUUCAUGUUGUUUUUCUUUGCUUAUGUUGAUGCUGCUGAAGAAUCCAUGUUUUCAUUGGAGGCUUCUAAUGGUUUUAGAACAAUGUUGAUAUGUUGUUGUUCUCUUUCUGGUUAGAGGUCAGUAGCCAAGAGUGUUUCAUGAUAUCCACAACUACAUCAAUUCAAAUAAGAAGAAUUCAAGUUAAGUUUGUCUUCUGAUAUGUGCCCAAGGUAUCAAGAACUUUGAGAAAUAUUUUGGGAGGGAAUUUUCAAGUCUUGAACCUCAA